ACAGUACAAACAUUGUUUUUAUUUCUUUAGAAAUAUAGCUUCUUUCUUUAGAAAUAUAGCUUCUCAUCAUAAUGUAACUAUGACUACUGAAUAGUAUAUUUAUUUCUUAAUUUGAGUAAUUAAAAAAUGUAAAAAAAAAGAAUAUAUUCCAGAAAAAGCUACGACUAGAAAAAUUAGCAUCAUUAAAAUUUUCAUCUAAUUUCACUAAAAAUUUUGAUUUCAGGUUUUAAUAAAUAGAUCAAUUAUAUGAAAGCCUGUAACUUUUUUUUAAUAACUUUUAAAAAUCCAUCUAUUAGCAAAUAUAGCAUUGUAAUUAUUUCCAAGAACAUUUUCAUUUACAGACUUAAAUUCUAUAUCUUGUAUCCCAAUUUGAAAAUCUAAUAUACCAAUUUAUAUUAAUGAAGAUUUUUGAGACUUAAAUAUAUCCUUGUGCUUGUUAUAUAUAAAACAUUGACAUCUUGGUCUUCGCAUUCAUCUGAUUCUCAAAAUGGCUUCCAAAAGACAAAUUAUUCAAUUUUCUUCAUCCUUAGAAAUGAUUUUCUUGCUUCUUAUUUUGGAUAGUCUCCUGAUCUUUUACAAGUACUACCAAACAAAUGAAGCAAAAAAAGAAUGUUGGAUAUCAUUAGAAACCUUGAACAUUUCUAAAGGUUGUAUUUGCUGCUAGAAAGUCAAAAUUUCAAAAUAGCAGCAAUUCAAGAAUCCCUUCCUCCCAGCUAGUCCAUCUAGGGAAAGGUCUGAAUGUUUUUAAAGGGCAUUUAAAAUUGAGAAGAGGAUUUUCUAAGCUCCUUGGGAUGUCACAUGGCUGUCAUAACCAGAGAUUGCAUCUGAGAUACUGACACUAUAAAAGAGAGGUGUGCUUGAACAAAACAAACAUUUCUUCUUCCCUCUCUCCUCCGCUACUUGUGUCUUCUCUACCCUCAUCAGCUGUUCUGUGGUCCCCUCCAUUUAUGUCUAUUUCUCUCUAGGCUUUAUGUGCCUUUCCACCUAUCUCUUGCUCAUAGCUUCUUUUUGUUUCCCUCUGUUUUUCUCUAUUUCCUUGACGUUAUGACUGUGGUUAUAAUAAUGUAUAUGUCAUCAGAUGAGUUAAACUUUGAUAUACUUCCAUCUCUCUCGUGCUUUUAAGUCACCUUAAAAUGAUUAAUGUUUCGAUUCAUGAACUUCAGAGGAAGAAAAGAAAUUUACUUCUAAUACACAGGCCAUGGUAGGCUACACUUAAUCAUCUACUUUAGCAACUAACAAAACAACUACCUAAGUCAUUCCCUUCUUUCCUACCAAAUUAAUUAGAUGCUUUUUUUUUUUUUUAAAUCUCCUAGUGUCAGUCAUAUGAAAGCAGUAGAGAAUUACAGACUUAGGAUACGAUUUUUACCUCUAUUUCUUGAGGAAUAUAUUGAGUUUAUCUCUUCUGCAACACUCAUUGUACAAAUGUAAAUAUCUUAGCAUGUUUAGAUAGCCCCCCCUCCCUCCACCCACCAAAACAAUUGUCUCCCACUGGAGGAAGUUAAAAGCCAUAGAGAAGACAAAUAGUAAAAUAAAUAUACCAACCACUAUAAUAUUAAAAAUAUUCUGGAGAAACAAAUGAGAGGUUUAGGACUGUAUAUAACAAAAAAAUAUGAUUAUUCUCUGAUAGUUCAAGUGAUGCUUGAUGCGAGAUUGGGUAGUUACAAACUGGAGGGUCAGCUGCAUCCAUGUCUCCUCUCUCCCAUCUCUCCUCCUUCCUGCAGCCAGAGAAAUCUAGUUAAAAUUCACCUGAGAAUUCAUGUUCCUGGAUGCUAACUCCUUCAACUAAAAACCCUUUGGUGCUUGAUUCUUUUUUAAUUUUUAUUUCCCCAAUUCAUUAUUUUUUUUUCUACUAUACAGUGUGGUGACCAAGAUACACUUACAUGUAUAUAUUCUUUCUUCUCACAUUAUCCUGCUCUGUCAUGAGGACUAGACAUAGUUCUUGACAUCCUAGGAAAGUCUCUCUGUGAUCGCUACAUAUUCUCACCUCAGAGAAAUGUCUUUAUACACUCUGUUCCCAAUGCCUAGAAACUUCUUCCUAUAUUCUCCUCUGUUCAGUUAAUUCAUGUUAAUUGCCCUAGAUAGAAAUGUGAGAGGCUUAGUGGUUUCCUUGUCCUAACACAUUUUUGGCAUUUCUUUGAUAUAAGAAAAUACUUUAGUUAGAUGCAUAUUUCUAGGACACAAAGACAACUAGUGUGUUUGGAACUUAUUGGCACAUAAAAUUUACUAAUAGCCACAAUUUGCCUAUGCUGAAGGUCAAAUUAUGUCUUCCCAAUAAGUAUUUGCUGUUAAAUAAUGGAGAUGAUCACAAGACUAGGAUUUCAUCUAAAACUUUAAAUCGAUAAAAUAUGAGAUUGGAAAUUGUAUUUUCCAGCUGAUGGUGCUUGUUCUGAUCAGAAAUACAAAGUCUUCUAGCCUGUUUCCAUAUGAACAUAUCCUAUACUUCAAUUUAUUUGCUCAAAAUUACAUACAAGGUAAAAAUUGUUCAUGUUGAUCACUCUAUUUGUGAUUUUUUUACCAGUGACUGUUUGCUAAUUUCAUUCACCAAAUACCAUGCUAUACAUUCUCAUGAAAAUCAUAUGGAUUAAAAUAAGUAAAAACAUCUUGCAACCAUUAACAAGUUCUGAAACUGUAAAAGACAUUACUUGGGGAGUAAUAUUUCUGUCCUUAAUAAUGAACUAGUGUUAUUUUUCUGAGACGUAAAAAUAACAGUUGUGUUUUCUUAGUUGUUAGAACUCUACACAAGUAACCAAGCUUCCAUGUGAAAAAUUUUCAUUUAUAAUAUUUGCUUGCUAAAAAUGUAAGCGCUUAUGAGAGAUAAAGGAUUGCCUUAGAUACUUUUAUUCUGGUUUCCUGUUUGCAAAAUCACCCUCUUUUAUGUACCCUGGAAAUUAUGUUUUUUUUUUUCGGUUUUGCAUUUGAUAAAAUCUUAAGGAUUUAGAAAAUCAAGAACUGGAUCUUUAUGUAAAUGGCAUGAAUGGCCUGAUUCCAAACGUCUUCCCACAGGACUUAGAAGCAAUUUAAUUUUCAAAAAAAUUUGAGGAGUUUUUUUUAAUUAAACCAUGUUUUCUAGAGAUCUCCUUCACUGAAAGCCUUUCAAGUACUACACACACAGAGAUCCUGGGAGUAGCAUGAAUUCUCAGGUGUAUGCAUUGUGCAGAAGUGAGGGGAGUUCAGAUGAGAUGAAAAAUAUUUGUGUGUGUGUGUGAACGUAUGUAAUUUUUCAUGAGACUGAUUUCUAUAAGUACCUUCUGAUAAAAUUUACCAUUUUCAUGUUGUUGAAAAUCAAGUUGAUUUAAAUAAUCCUCAUUAUUUAUUUACAGUGAGGUCUGUUAAUAAUACAAACAAUAACAAUAUAAAACUUAACUAAAAUUUUUUAGUAACUCUAAAUAUAAGCACUUGCAAGGCAGCUUACAAACACAUUUUUAGCCUACUGACUUUCUUUUUGCUGAUUUCUCCACUUUACCAGAGGUAAAGAAAAUAUUCUUGAUAGAAAAAUUUUUUAUUUUUCUGUGGUCUUAGGCAAACAUUAGCUAUUUUCAUUUUAAAGUAGUAUAUUUUUCUUUCCAUUAAUGCACAAUCUAAAACUAUCUAAAUGUCUCACCUUUGGGAAAUGAUUACAUAAAUUAUUAAUUUCCAUAUAGUUUAAAAUCUUGACAGUUUCAAAAGAAAAUAUAAAAUAGGUGGUAAAAUAUAAUCCAGGUUUUUUUUUUAAUAUUUAAUACACGUUUACAUUUGUAUGUAAAAUUUCCUAGGUAAAUUAUGUCAACCAUUAAUAGUGUUUAUUACAUGGAUAUUUGGGGAGUGAGUAAUAUUGUUCUACAGGUUUUGUGCAUUUUUUCAAAUUUUCUAUAAUAAACAUUCAUUUUAUAUAUCAGAAUAAAUGUAUUGGUGUUUUAGAUGAAAAUGCUUAUUAAUCUUGGUUAUGUAAAGGUUUUAGGAAGCAUAAUGUACAUACACAUUGUGCUAACCAACUGUGAGAUCAUCGAGGAUAUACCAGAAACUGAUUUUCUGCAUCAGGCAGAGACACUGCCUAAUCAGAAACCUAGGGACAGAUUCUCUUGGGUCAAGAGAAAUUUCUGUGUUUACUCAUGUGGUCUCAAGGAAUUUAAAUAUCAAAAUCUGACCUCAUUUUCAUGUCUUGUAAAAUAUAUGUGAGAAGGUGCCCAAUACAAAAAAAUAAUGUGACCAGUGGCUGCAAGAAUAAAAGAGAUCUUCAGUUACUUUGAGGGUUCUAAACAUUUUCAGGCAAGAAGAAAUAGUGUUUUGAAUCUACUUUUGCAUCAGCACUUUAAAACUGACAUGGAAAAGUUGGCACUCUUGAGAGAAAUGAUCACAAUGAUAAGUGGGUUUUCAAACAUAUUGCAUGAGGUAGAGUUGGACUAAGUUGUGAUCUUUAGCAAAGAGAAUAGUAGACUUGAAAGAGAAAUGAGAGCUCUCCUGAGCUGCAAGAAAACAUGUCAGGAGAAAGACACAUGGUGUAUAGUCUGAUUGCUCAGCUGUUAAGUGGGAGAAAAUACCCAAUGGCUGGUUAAAACAAAGAUCUUUUGAAAUAAUUGGAACAAUUUGAAAAUUACUAGAUGAUCACGAAGGGUAGUCUAAUCCACAUAACUAAAUGAACUCAGACUGAGCCUGAAUGAUGAAUGAUUAGAACUAUUUUUUAAAUAUUGGCAGGUCAAGAACAGGUUGGAUGAGAUGGAUUCUCUUUUUAAUUUUAAGAUGUGAUAAUUCCAAAGUAAGCCAAGGAGUAAAAUAAAAAGCACUGAUCUAUUUUUAAGCACAUGCAUAUGGUGGAGGAUUUUGCAGGUAGCAGGAAAGGUGACAGUAG
rnacentral:lncRNA from 1 species